AAAGAGUUAGUUAAAUUAUAAUUUAGGGUUGUCAGCCUUAAGUUGCUGAUUAAAUCAGUACUUUUUA
rnacentral:tRNA from 1 species